UACGGAGGAUCCGAGCGUUAUCCGGAUUUAUUGGGUUUAAAGGGAGCGUAGGUGGAUUGUUAAGUCAGUUGUGAAAGUUUGCGGCUCAACCGUAAAAUUGCAGUUGAAACUGGCAGUCUUGAGUACAGUAGAGGUGGGCGGAAUUCGUGGUGUAGCGGUGGAAUGCGUAGAUAUUAGGAGGAACACCAGCGGCGAAAGCGAUUCACUGGACUGUAACUGACACUGAGGCACGAAAGCGUGGGGAGCAAACAGG
rnacentral:rRNA from 1 species